AUCCAGCUGACGAGUCCCGAAUAGGACGAAACGCGCGUUAUGGAU
rnacentral:hammerhead_ribozyme from 1 species